GGGAAAUUUUCCGCAAUGGGCGAAAGCCUGACGGAGCAAUGCCGCGUGGAGGUGGAAGGCCUACGGGUCGUCAACUUCUUUUCUCGGAGAAGAAACAAUGACGGUAUCUGAGGAAUAAGCAUCGGCUAACUCUGUGCCAG
rnacentral:rRNA from 1 species